rnacentral:rRNA from 2 species
UAAAAAGCUCGUAGUUGGAUCUGUGUCUCGGACGGUCGGUUCGCCGCUCGCGCGGCGUUUCAACUGACCGGUCCGGACGUCCUGCCGGAGGGCCGCUCGCGUUUCGGCGCGGGCGCGUCCGUAAUCCUUCCGGGCUGCCCUUAACUGGGCGGCCCGGCGGGCCGGCCUUUUUACUUUGAACAAAUUUGAGUGCUCAAAGCAGGCUCCCCUUCGCCUGAAAACCGAGUGCAUGGAAUAAUGGAAUAGGACCUCUUUUCUAUUUUGUUGGCUUUUUCUGAAACGGAGGUAAUGAUUAAUAGGGACAGACGGGGGCAUUCGUAUUGCGACGUUAGAGGUGAAAUUCUUGGAUCGUCGCAAGACGGACUGGUGCGAAAGCGUUUGCCAAGAAUGUUUUCGCUAAUCAAGAACGAAAGUUAGAGGUUCGAAGGCGAUCAGAUACCGCCCUAGUUCUAACCAUAAACGAUGCCAGCCAGCGAUGCGCCGAUGUUCCUCCGAUGACUCGGCGCGCAACUUCCGGGAAACCAAAGCUUUUGGGUUCCGGGG